rnacentral:rRNA from 1 species
AGAGAGAGACAUGCGCGCAUAUCAAUAAGCGGAGGAAAAGAAACUAACAAGGAUUCCCUUAGUAACGGCGAGUGAAGCGGGAAGAGCUCAAAUUUGAAAUCUUCAAGGUUUUACCUUGACGAAUUGUAGUUUAAAGAAGUGUUUUCUGCUGAAGUUUUGGUAAAAGUUCUUUGGAAUAGGACAUCAUAGAGGGUGAGAAUCCCGUAUUUGACCAUUAUUUUCAGCUUUGUGAUACACUUUCAAAGAGUCGGAUUGUUUGGGAAUGCAGGUCCAAAAUGGGUGGUAAAUUUCAUCUAAAGCUAAAUAUUGGCGAUGAGACCGAUAGCGAACAAGUACCGUGAGGGAAAGAUGAAAAGAACUUUGAAAAGAGAGUUAAACAGUACGUGAAAUUGUCAAAAGGGAAGCGUUUGACACCAGUGUUGUUUUCUCGAAAAUCAAUUAAAAAUGGCUCGAUUUUGUAUUGCUGAGACCUUAAAAGCUCACUGUACAUUUUUCGUGUCUUUUUUAAUGCACUUUUCGUUUAACAAGUCAACAUCAGUUUCUUUUGUUGUAAAAGGGUCAUUGGAAGGUGGCUUUCUUUUCGGAGAAAGUGUUUAUAGCCUUUAGGCCUCUGCAAUCGGAAGAGACUGAGGUCUGCAGCGUAGACUCUUCGGGGUUAGAUACAUUUGUGCUUAAGUUAUAGCUUUUUAUAGACAACUUGUUGACUAUAAUUAGUCUUGUAGCUUACUCGCUUAUGCUAUUUUACCUACGCUUAGGAUGUUGAGUCGUAGAGCACGCAG